AUCCAGUUAUAGAGUUCUAGAUAAAACGAAACGCGCGUCCUGGAU
rnacentral:hammerhead_ribozyme from 1 species